GACGAACGCUGGCGGCGUGCUUAACACAUGCAAGUCGAACGGAAAGGCCCGGCGUUUGUGGGUUUCUCGUUUGGCGAACACGUGAGUAUCACGUGUGGAACCUGCACUUGUCUGUGUGGGAACAUCUGGGGACUGGGGCGAUUACACCGUAGGAUCUCCUGCUGCACGUUGGUGGUUAGAAAGUGACGGCGGUGUGGGAUGGAUUCGCGGGUUAUCAGCUAGUUUGGGGGGUAGUGGCUUACCAGGGCUUUGACGGGUAGCCGGCAUGGGAGGGUUACCGGCCACAUUGGGACUGCGAUACGGCGCAGAAUCCAACGGGCGGCAGUAGUGGGGAAUAUUGCACAAUGGGCGGACGCCUGAUGUAGCAACGCCGCGUGCGGGAUGCUGGCUUUCGGGUUGUAAACAGCUUUCGAAUGUGAAGAAGAGUGAGUGACGGUAACGGGUCAAGAAGCAACGGCUAACUACGUG
rnacentral:rRNA from 1 species